rnacentral:snRNA from 1 species
AUCUUUGCGCUCGGGGUACUACUCAUAGACAUGACCAUUAGGGAUCUUGAGUAAUUGCUGAUUGAAAACAAAAUCAUCCGAACUUCGAUCGUCGCAAGACGUUCGAGAAUUUUUGUAAGUGCUUCUACAAAGCA